rnacentral:tRNA from 1 species
GCGCCCGUAGCUCAGGUGGAUAGAGCGACUGCCUCCUAAGCAGUAGGCCCCUGGUUCGAGUCCAGGCGGGCGCA